UAGGAGGGCAAACGCCACAGAGAAACCUGUGACUAGAUUUCCCCUGCGUCACCUUCUUCACUUCAAAGCAGAUACACGAGCUACUAAUUUGAUCUGAUAGGGGGAAGCAGUGCUGGAGGGGAAGCAUUUACCCCCUUUCCCCCAUGCCACCACCACCCCGAUCUAUUUGCUCCACAUACAAUGAAGCUGCUGCUAGUUCCUGGGGUACGGGGGCAUACGGGCACCAUACAGGAAUUUGCUCUUUCCAAGAACUCAGAGAAAGAACAGCAUCUUUGCCAAGUUAUAAUUCCCAGGGUUCUUUGGGCAACACCAUGAGACAUGUAAUGUUUGCUGCAUGGCCUACACCUAAAGCAACCAACUUUUCUAUCUCUGGAAACCUUUCCCCUGAUGCGGGAUGGAGAGGGGUGUAUUUUCACCACACAAACUGGCCUUCUCGCAGACACAACAGCCAAGAUCCGCAGCUUCAAAGACAGAAUGUCAGCAUGCAGUCGAUUUAUGACUGAACUCUUGAAGAGACACUGAAGAAUUACCUUGUCAAUCACCCCAAGGACUCUAAAGGCCUUCAGUUCCUCGGCAGGGCUCCUUAGGUUCCAAGAGGGCCUUGAACUUAGUGAUCCUGGAGGCUAAUGGAAGAUAUCAAAGAUUACAACAUCAAUCAGGGUGGUACUUGAAGGAAGACUGCCUGCUGGAGCAAAUGCCAGGCUGAAGGAAACUAAAUUUAUCAUAAAUCAGAGAGAGGGAAGAUGAAAGAAGUUUGCUGUUUGUCCUUAAUGCAAAAAAGGAAGCAGGGGGAGUUGAUAGUAAAUAAAUCGCUGGGACACUGAAAAUGGAAA